GACGAACGCUGGCGGCGUGCUUAACACAUGCAAGUCGAACGGUAAGGCCCUUCGGGGUACACGAGUGGCGAACGGGUGAGUAACACGUGGGUGAUCUGCCUGCACUUCGGGAUAAGCCUGGGAAACUGGGUCUAAUACCGGAUAGGACCACUGCCUGCAUGGGUGGUGGUGGAAAGCUUUUGCGGUGUGGGAUGGGCCCGCGGCCUAUCAGCUUGUUGGUGGGGGGAUGGCCUACCAAGGCGACGACGGGUAGCCGGCCUGAGAGGGUGACCGGCCACACUGGGACUGAGAUACGGCCCAGACUCCUACGGGAGGCAGCAGUGGGGAAUAUUGCACAAUGGGCGCAAGCCUGAUGCAGCGACGCCGCGUGAGGGAUGACGGCCUUCGGGUUGUAAACCUCUUUCAGCACCGACGAAGCGCAAGUGACGGUAGGUGCAGAAGAAGGACCGGCCGACUACGUGCCAGCAGCCGCAGUAA
rnacentral:rRNA from 1 species